AGAGUUUGAUCAUGGCUCAGAGCGAACGCUGGCGGCGUGCCUAAUACAUGCAAGUCGAGCGGGUGUAGCAAUACAUCAGCGGCGGACGGGUGAGUAACGCGUGGGCAAUCUGCCCUCUAGCCUGGGAUAACAGUUCGAAAGGACUGCUAACACCGGAUAUGCUCCCAGCCUGGCAUCAGGCAGGGAGGAAAGUUUACACU
rnacentral:rRNA from 1 species